rnacentral:piRNA from 1 species
UGAACUGUGAAUGUAAAGCGUAAAAAACC